AGGAAAACCAGUUGGGAGGCCAUGGGGAGAAUUCUGAGAUAAGGUCCUGUUGUGGAGUGUGAAAGGAGUUCCGUAGCUGGUUUCCUCACUGCUGUCAUUGCCACUGCGAUGCUUCCGAGGACAGCUUGCAAAGCCUGUGCUUCCCGUGAAGUGACGUGUAGUGGCUUUGCCCUCCCUUUGCCAAGCCUGUGGGCAGAGAACUGCAUGGGAAACACCGGAUUCCAGAGGCUUUUGAAAGGAACCAAGCUCUGAACGCGAUUGUUGAAGCUUCAUCUGUGAAGGGGCGCCCCGAGCUGUCUUGGUCUGUCCUGACCUCUCUCAGCCGGAGUCUGGAAUCAGCUUAUCAAGUAGCUUGCUCUGGAGUAGGAUGCAGCCAUUCAAGAGUGGUCUCAAAAUUCUCCUACCUUCCCCAAGGCAGAAUUGUGGAGUGGCCUUGUCGUUCCUUAAACUCGUCUCCUUAAACUCGAGUUUUUAAUUUUGACUUUUUCUCAUCCUUACCAAAUGUUGGAGCACAAUACUUGUCGUUAAUACUCUAUUAAACAGUUACACAGCUGGCCGUGUGCUUCA